GCCGGGUUAGCUCAGUUGGUUAGAACAUGGUGCUAAUAACACCAAGUUCACAGGUUCAAUCCCUGCUCACUGCA
rfam:Pelecanus crispus contig9927, whole genome shotgun sequence.